rnacentral:rRNA from 1 species
UCGCAUCUGUGCAUGCAGCAUAUCAAUAAGCGGAGGAAAAGAAACUAACAAGGAUUCCCCUAGUAACGGCGAGUGAAGCGGGAAGAGCUCAAAUUUGAAAUCUUAAAGGGUUUCCCUUUACGAAUUGUAGUCUAAAGAAGUGUUUUCUGUUGAGGUUUUGGUAAAAGUUCUUUGGAAUAGGACAUCAUAGAGGGUGAGAAUCCCGUAUUUGACCUUUACUUUCAACUUUGUGAUACACUUUCAAAGAGUCGGAUUGUUUGGGAAUGCAGUCCAAAAUGGGUGGUAAAUUUCAGCUAAAGCUAAAUAUUGGCGAGAGACCGAUAGCGAACAAGUACCGUGAGGGAAAGAUGAAGAGAACUUUGAAAAGAGAGUUAAACAGUACGUGAAAUUGUCAAAAGGGAAGCGUUUGACACCAGUGUUGUUUUUCUGAAAAUCAAUUAAAGAACUGUUUAUGCUAAGUUGUUUAGACUUUAUCAGCUAACUGUUUAGUUUUGAGCUUUUCUUUAAUGCACUUUUCAGUUAACAAGUCAACAUCAAUUUCUUUUGCUGUAAAAAAGCUUGAGGAAGGUGGCUUGAGAUUCGUCUUAAGUGUUUAUAGCCUCUUGCCUAUGCAGUCGGAGAGAUUGAGGUCUGCAGCGUAGAUCCUUCGGGGCUAAAUGCAUUUGUGCUAAGUUAUAGCAUUUUAUAGACAACUUGUUGACUAUGAUUUGUCUUGUAGCUUACUCGCUUAUGUUAUUUUACCUACGCUUAGGAUGUUGAACGCGCACAGAGUCUC